CAAAUGCCUCAUUACAAAAGGACUUCACUAUUUCUUGUGUUUAUAUAAGAUCAGUCAUCAUUCAGGUACUGGAAAGCUAUAAAAAUUAUAUACAUCUGGAUUUUACCAAAGAUAGGUCCUACCCCUCCUCUUCAAGUUUUCAUCAUUUCUGGCAGGCCUGUACCGCACAGAAAGUUAAUGAUGAGCUAAUACCUUCCUAAACUGUCUGUUUAAGAAAUACAGAAGACAACGCUGAGCAUCUCCCUGCUGCUUCAGCGCAUCAGCCUCGUUUUUCUUUCUGGUCAAUGAAUGAUCUGCUGCUUCUCAAACUGUUCUGCCUUCAUCUGCAUUUGAAAAGGAACACCUGUAAUCCUGGAAAGAAUCUUGUGAGGCUAUGAAGUCCAAGAUCAAACCUGUAAUAUGCCUGUCUGUGGAACUUCAUGGAGUCCUGGCUGAUACACAUCUCUGAGUAGAGCACUGUUCCUUCCUCAGAAGGAUGAACAGAUAAAUGUGCACUACUUUCAUUGGAAAGCAACAGGAUUUUGCUGUUUGUGUCUGCAUAUAUUCCUCUCAAGUAUUCCCAGACCUGUGGACGUUAUUUCCCUCUACCAUCCCGCUGAGUUUAUGACAUGGUCCUAAGUAAUGUGUCAGUGUUACAGCAGCCACUGAGUUGUACAAGGAGGGAAGAACGGUCCACUCCACCUGCAAUGAGAGCUGCUGUUUUUGUGUGCUCUCUCAAAAAGAUUAAUUCAAUGCUGUGAAAUCAAAACGUGUUGAGAGACUGUUCCUAGGCAAACAGCUGCUGCGUUAGAUUUUCAUCAUUGCAGGACUGAUGAGAUUUACUUUGGGCUGCUUUUUUUUUUUCCAUUGGCACUGCACUCCAGCGAUAAGGAUUCUUGUCUUUCUGCUAGUUAUAUUUUAACUUACCUGUUGGUUUUCUUAUUUGAGAAGUUAAGCGGAGCAGACUUUGGGGGAAGGUCGGAAGUAACUUUGCAGUGCUACUUCAAAGACACUUCUGCUGUUGAACACCCAAUCCACUGAUGGCUAUAGCACUUUAAUGCAUGUAAUUACCUUAAGUAACGUAGAGAAAUUAAUUAACAGAUGUUCUGGGUACUUUACUGAGUUCAAGUGGUCUCUUUCUACAGAUUCAUAAAUGCAUGGUAGAACUCAGCACCUCCCUUGCAAGGCAGGGCCAGCACCCCAGCAGUGGCUGUAUUAGCUGGGAAACUAUUUAUAGAUCUUUGGCUAUUUAGGUAAUUGAAGCUUUUCCCACUUUCAGCUAAUGCAGUCUCUGUUGUAUAACUCGGCUGGCGACCAGCUUGGUGCAAGGGACAGAGACACAGGAGGCCCCGUGCUGUGCGUGAGGAGAGAUAAACAACCGCUUUCAGGUUUGGGGAUUUAGUGGCCGUCAAAACAAAGAAUUAUAGUAAAUGCCUGUGUAGGUGGAGGAUUUAUUAAGUUACUCUAAAAGAGCUGGAAUACUGGAUCAUGUUUACUUACAAGGUUGAAAAUGCAUUAGUGUUAUUAAUUUUCUGUGUGUAGUCUGUUACAACCAUGCUCAGCACGGCUAACCAAGGAAUAGUUGAGUGCCUGGAGAGGACUACUUCAGCCUCUAAGACUGGAUGACAUUAUUUCAACAAGCCACCACUCAUGAGAAAGGGCCAGGUCCAAAACAGGAGCUGGAUUCUCACCGUGCCCAAUAUUUCUGCGUGGCUUCAUCCUCACUGGCCUUCAAAUUUCCAGUUUGAGUGCAAGGCAUGUGUAAGAGACAUCAGGUAGGGCUGAGUUCCUUGGCACCUAAGUCCAGAAUUCAGUGUUCUUCUCUACAGCUGGCCUAAGGAACAUGAUCAAACAGACAUCUAACAAGAUAAAGAUAGAAAAUAUUAAAUUUUUAAGGAUUUUUACUAAGUGCAUUAACUACCAUGGACAUGCCAUGCACACGUUCAGUUCCCUCAUUGGCAUAGACUUUAACGCCAUGUAUCUUAACUCAUAAUCUCACUAGCCUUUGUUCUCUCUUUUUUCACAAACAAAAUAUUUGAGCAGAACAGAAUGUUGAGUCAUGGAGGUUACUUCAGAAAAUGAAAAUGGUUUAGCAAUCUAAGUUGUAUGGUUAGUUUUUGUCUUGAAAUCUGAAAUAACUCACUUGAAACAAAGGAAAGUACGUUGGCUGGCACUAUAAUUCCUUUAGCAGCUUCUAUGCAAACCAGUAAGUCUUUGGCAUGCUAUUUGGGCUUUGUCAAAUAUAUGGAAGGCAAAGCUCAUGUUUCUUAGAAUUUCUUUGGGGUUAUUAAUAAAAGUCGUAACUAAAAUUCCAUACCUCUCCCCCAAAAUAAUUUGGCUAAAUUGACUAAAAGUGACUAAAUCAGUAUCCAAGGGCUUUAGUAUUCCAAAGUGACACAGGCAGCAAUUUAAUAAUUCAAGAUGAAAUAACGUAUUUUUCAGUAAUUUGAGAGGCAGUUCUAAUUAGGUGCUCCUUAAUGGGCUUUUUAGUCUGUUCCAGGCAAGCAGAUCCUCUUGUAAUAUUCUGUUCAGAACAUAUGCAACUCCAGCUUCAAAGAAAAAGCUAAGAAUACAUACUUCUCCCUUGCAAAACAAAGUCAAGGCUGCCACUUCACUGACCUGUACAAAUCCAUAUUUAGUUAAAAACAGGUAAAAUACUGUUUUCAAAGAAAACUUGCCCAGAGACUUAAUCACAAAUGUCAGUCUUGAUCUAAAAGGUGGAGAGUUUUCAAAUGCUUUUAAGUCUCCAGAUCAGGAAACCAGAUGCUUACCCUUCCUUUUGCUCCAAAGCAAACUUUCACUCCCUCUGAAAACUCUAAUUACAAUAUUGAUGUGGUAACUCAGGGAGUGCCACUUCAGCUGUGGUGAACAUAAAUCCAGAAAUGACAGUGUUCAUAGCGGGAAGUUUAUUUUAGUUGGUGCUGGGGUUUGGGAUCUCUUCUGUACUUUGUAAAUGUGCAAAUAUGAGUCACCAAUCAGUCCAUAUGGUGAUAAUAAGCAGGAAUUCAGGUGUGUGAGAUACUAAUAUUGGCAAAGAAGCCUUUCCUCUGAAAUAUAAACCCAGAAUACCUACAAGGAAAAUAAUUUUGGCAGAAAAGAGAGCUGCAUUUGUAAUGCUGGUUUCAAAAAGCUCAUCAGUUUUACAAUGAGGAUGCAGAAGGGAAUAUAUGAAUCUUGGUACAGUAAGAUGUUUUUCCUGAUCCCUAUUGUUUCUUUUCCUUCAGUAAUAUCCUUCCGAGAAGCAUAUCCUGCUAUUUGGAACAAAAGUGUAGAAUGUCUGUCCAAAUUCUAAGAUUUUCAGAAAAAGAAACAGCCAGACCUGGCAAGCAAUAGCUCUGUAUGGACAGAAAUGUUGUAGCAGAUCAUGUACUUUUUGAUAUGGGAUUUAGAGCACAGAUUUUGUAAUCCAGUUUUCACUUCUAUACAACUUCGGAAGAAAGUGGAAAGGAACAAUUCUGUGUCCUGUGGAUUUCUCCACAAUGAUUUUUUUAUCACUGGAAGAAAUGUAUGUCACAAGAAAAUUGUCUUGCAUGAUAAUUUUUCACAGCAGUAGAGACAAAAUUAUAUUACUGUCUAAAGAAUAGAAUAAAGAAUAAAACCAGGAAAUAAUAAAGAAAGUCUUAUGAAAGUUCUCAUUUAAACUAAAAUUGCAAAUUAUACAGAUUCAUGACACUUUGUAAACUGGUGUUUUUCUUAGCUGAAACAACAAAAAUACAGGAAUAUUCUGUAAAACUUGCAAAUCCUCAGUUUGCUAAAAGAAAACAUGCAGAUCCUGAGAUAAAAUUAAUUUAAUUCAAAAUUUGCUUUUGUUGGAAAACAAUAACGAAGGCCAAACUUCAACACAAAAGUUUUGGGGUUCGACUCAGUACUGAAAUGUGAGAAUGUCUAUCAGCACAGCUUGAUUUUGUUUUCUUCUUUUUUUUCCCUUUCUGGAGCUUCACUGCAUUCACAGUGAUGAAUAUCCCUCUUCAGCAAAGCCAUACUGUGUUCCACAGUGCAGACACUUGCAGCUUGCCUGUAAGCAGUGAGUGGGAAAGGAAUGUUAACUCUGCCACAGCUCUAGGGAAGGAAAACCCCUCUGUCCUUCCCCAGCUCCUGAGCAUUGCCACCCUGAGCUUUAUGAAGGAUGGGUGGUGAGAGCUAACAGAGCUGUGACUGUAUCCCUUCCUCCAUCGCUUUUCCUUGGAGGAGAGGUGGUUUGUUUCUACUGCACAGGCUUGUCUCCUGUCCUUGCCCUGUGCCAACACAUCACACAUGGGCUGUUGCAACCGUCCAGUAAGGAAGGGAGAGCAAAGAGGGCAACUUCUUGUCAGAGUACCCUGAGGCAACACCAGGAGCCUUGUGCAACUGCUGCCUCACAUGUACUUUUUCCAUGAGUUACUAAGACUUCUCUGUAGCUUUUUUGUUGUUUUUUUUUCCUCUGUGCAGUUAUUUUAUAAUGAAGGUCACGUGAGUCCAAAAAACAAUAAUAAAAUGCGUAGUUUCCCAGUAUGUUGUUUCCCAGUAGUGAUGACUUCUGGCAAUGAGUUUCAUAUGUCCCAAUCUGAAACAAAGGCAGCACAGGAAGAGAGAGUGACUCAGUCUCUGAGUCCCAGAAAGUAAACACUGUCUAACCAGUCUUAUCUGGUUUUUAGGAGCUCAAAUGAGGCAUUUUGCUGGGCCUGGAUUUCUUUUGCGUGGGGGUAUGUGUUAGGGACAGAUGCAGUUUGUGAACUCAGAAAAUGGGUUGCUAAAUGCUUUUUAGUUGAAAGAUUUGAGAGGAACAUACCUGCCUCCCCUCAAGGAAACAGCCAUAUGUUAGGAUCUUGGAUAUUUGUUUUUUUCUCCCAAACAGGUUCCCCAUCACUUUUUAUGAUUGGGUAGGGAAGAGAGGCCGUGGGAUAUGCAUUGGGAAGGAAAUUUAUGGUGCUGGUCACCCACCGUACAACAGCGCAAAUCAUCUGCCUAGGGAAGCCACCCCUACCCCUAUCUCCAUACUAGUCAUAGAAUCAUAGAAUAAUUAAGGUUGGAAAAGACCAAGUGGUCACCAUCAGCCUGACACCACCGUGCCUAAUAAACCAUGUCCUAAAGUGCCACAUCUACACACUUUUUGAACCUCUCCAAGGAUGGAGACUCCACCACUGCCCUGGGCAGCCUCU